ACCAGCAGGAUCCGCACGUCUUUCUUCAUGUCGGCGGCUCUCGGGGGCCGGCCUCCGCCCGCACGCAUGGAGUGGACUCCUCUCACCGGGAGCGCCCACCCCACGGCGCCACCUGCCAGCCUCUUCGGCCGCCGGGGCCCGCCGUGCCGCCCCCUCAGUUGCUUCCCUGCAAGAGAGCUGGUACAGCACCAGCUCCGCCUCCUCCGGCCCAGCGGGCGGCGGCGGCGGGGACGACGGCACGCGGCGAGGGACACGCGCUUUCGGAACGCGAACGCUCUCAGCGCCGGAACAGCGUUCCCGCGGCCACGCAGCCGCAGCGCAGGCCUAGGGAGCCUCACCCACCCUCCUCUGGGCACCGCGACCCGGGAGACGCUUGGGCCCGGAAUUUGAAUGGCGGAUUCCCUGGUUUAACCCCAUUUAUUUUAUAGACAGGGACAGAAAUUCCCUGUUCAAAGUCACAUAGCUAGAGCUUGGCAGUGACUCAGAGCAGGGAUCUUCUCACCAGACUCUAAACUCUGGGAGAGCAGCAAUCUGCUUGCAUGGUUUUCGGUUGCGUCCCCACGUUAUUGGACAGAGCCCUCAGAAAAUGCUUGAGAAUAGGGCGACUGGCUCCCAGGAUCCGGCGCUUUCCACUUUCGAAAGCCCGUCACCCUAGUUGCUUUUGCCUGUGAUGCUUGUAAAAUACGAUUAUAAGAUUCGUUUUUAUGCUGUGUGAACAGACUCCUUUCUUUAUAACCAAACUAAGUGACUUUUUUUUCUGUCUCUGUAGUUUAUUUUAUGGCAGGGUUUUCGGAUACUCUACUCAGGCUUACCCGGCGUAAUGCUAGACACGGAGGUGGCACUGGAUAAUAAACUCUAAAUGAUUUUUCUAACAUUGCCUUAAUUUUCUCUUGACCCUCUCCAUCUGGAGGAAUUUGUUGCUACAUGCUUAAUGUUUGGUACACGAUGAGAAAAUACACACACACACACACACACGCGCGCGCGUGCGAAUAUGCGUCACAUCCCUAAUGCUUGGCACACAGUGGGAAAUAUAAAACACAUAAAUUAAUGAGGAGGCACUAUCUGUGCAUAAUGUACCUUUUUUCUAUCUUAAAUAUUACAUAAUGAACAUUUAAAGGGAAUGAAAUGUGCCUAAUACCAAUCUCCCUUUCGCGUAGGAGAAGUCACGUGGUCUCUUGCAGCAGUUAAGAGUUGCUGGCAAAUUUCCUGGGUUUGAAUCUCGGCUCCACAUAAUAGCUCUGUGAUCCUAAGAUGCCUUCCUCCUUUUCCUGGCAGGCCCACUCUGGUGGAGUGGAAAAAUCCAAUGCUUUGAUACCAGGAUACCCUCUCCCUUGUUGGCUUUGAGGAAGCAAGCAGCUGUGUUGCAAAGGCCUAUGGAGUAAGGAACUGAGGGUGGUCUCCAGCCAACAACCAGAAAGAAACUGAGGCCCUCAGUCCGGCAACUCACAAGGAACUGAAGGCUGCCAACAACCAUGUGGUUUCCAGGAUGUAAGCCAUACAGCCAGAAGGCAGGGUGCAGAGGAGAGGCGGCAGAGAUGGUACACUCGUACAGAAGCUUCUCCUGAUUGUCCACCGAAUAGAAGGCAAGCUUCCCCUCCUCAAGGUUCAGCCAGAUGCCCACCACCCCAGGUCUUGGAGAAUAUUUCUGAUUCUCCCUGCAGCUGUGUCGGAAAUCAACAGCUUUGGAGAAGUCAUGGAAAGAUCCACCCCAGAAGAAAAAACCUAUUGAUGAAUCAUUUAAAACUGAAUAAAUGGAAGUCCCCUAUGCAGUCUAUCAACUAUUAUAUUCAAGUUCUUUUAUUCAUCUAUAAUUUUCUAUGUAAUUCCCAGCAAGUUUUU